CUUGCAUUAUAAAUGACGUCAUGUGACUUGCGUUCUCAACAGUAUAGUAGGGGGAAAAAAACGCUGACUGUCAUUGUGAUGAGGACAGCGAGACUGAACCAUGACGUUCAUAGCGAAGACUUUUUAUGAUCUGCACGCAACUACUCUGGAAGGGGACACCAUAGACUUUAAUAUUUACCGGGGAAGAGUGGUGCUAAUUGAGAAUGUGGCCUCGCUGUGAGGGACGACCACCCAGGACUACACGCAGCUUAAUGAGCUCCAGAGCAGAUAUCCUCAUCGGCUUGUAGUCCUGGGCUUUCCCUGCAACCAGUUUGGAUACCAGGAGAACUGCUCUGAUGGAGAAAUUCUUAAUUCCUUAAAGUAUGUUCGUCCAGGUGAAGGGUAUAAGCCUUCGUUCACUAUUUUUCAGAAGUGCGUUGUAAACGGGAGUGAUGCGCAUCCUGUCUUUUCCUACUUAAAAGACAAGCUCCCUUAUCCAGACGAUGACCCUGUGACUUUAAUUCAAGACCCUAAAUAUCUAGUCUGGAAUCCAGUCAGUCGAAAUGAUAUUUCGUGGAAUUUUGAAAAGUUUUUAAUUGGGCCAGAAGGCGAGCCCUUCAAAAGAUACAGUAAGAAGUUUCAAACGAUCAAUAUUGAACCUGACAUUCAAAGGCUACUGAAGCUGACCAAGAACUAAUGGAAACAUGUAGGCAAUGAUCACAUUGACAAUGGUUUUUAUUAUAUAGGCUAUAUUAUAUUCCUUGUUAGCAGCUCUACGGCAUCAUCUCACUUUCUUUUUUAUUACUUAAUGAAAGUGACGCACCUAAAUGUAACGGGGUUGCACCUGAGACUGUAUAUAUUUAAGAAUUUGGGAUGAUGCCAUAAACAAUCAUCAUGUAAUAGAAAAACUUACUGAAAUAAAAAGCGUCAUCUGUCUCAUCUACUGUACAUUUCAUUAAUGUAACAUCUGCAUGUGUUCGCUGAAGUCCCAAAGC
rnacentral:lncRNA from 1 species